rnacentral:rRNA from 1 species
UACGGAGGAUCCAAGCGUUAUCCGGAAUCAUUGGGUUUAAAGGUCCGUAGGCGGUCUUAUAAGUCAGUGGUGAAAUCUCCCCGCUCAACGGGGAAACGGCCAUUGAUACUGUAGGACUUGAAUUAUUAGGAAGUAACUAGAAUAUGUAGUGUAGCGGUGAAAUGCUUAGAGAUUACAUGGAAUACCAAUUGCGAAGCAGGUUACUACUAAUGGAUUGACGCUGAUGACGAAAGCGUGGGUAGCGAACAGG